rnacentral:rRNA from 1 species
UACGUAGGUGGCAAGCGUUGUCCGGAUUUACUGGGCGUAAAGAGCGCGCAGGCGGUCGUUCAAGUCGCGUGUGAAAGCCCCCGGCUCAACUGGGGAGGGUCACGCGAUACUGAUCGACUCGAAGGCAGGAGAGGGAAGUGGAAUUCCCGGUGUAGUGGUGAAAUGCGUAGAUAUCGGGAGGAACACCAGUGGCGAAGGCGACUUCCUGGCCUGUUCUUGACGCUGAGGCGCGAAAGCGAGGGGAGCAAACGGG